rnacentral:rRNA from 1 species
UACAGAGGGUGCGAGCGUUGUUCGGAAUUAUUGGGCGUAAAGGGCGCGUAGGCGGUGCGGUAAGUCACCUGUGAAAUCUCCUGGCUCAACUGGGAGCUUGCAGGCGAAACUGCCGUGCUGGAGUGUGGGAGAGGUGCGUGGAAUUCCUGGUGUAGCGGUGAAAUGCGUAGAUAUCUGGAGGAACACCGGUGGCGAAGGCGGCAUCCUGGACCAAUACUGACACUGAGGAGCGAAAGCCAGGGGAGCAAACGGG